AGCGAACGCUGGCGGCAGGCUUAACACAUGCAAGUCGAACGCCCCGCAAGGGGAGUGGCAGACGGGUGAGUAACACGUGGGAACGUACCCUUUGGUUCGGAAUCACUCGGGGAAACUCAAGCUAAUACCGGAUAAGCGCUUACGGGGAAAGGUUUACUGCCGAAGGAUCGGCCCGCGUCUGAUAAGCUAGUUGGUGGGGUAAUGGGUCACCAAGGCGACGACCAGUAGCUGGUCUGAGAGGAUGAUCAGCCACACUGGGACUGAGACACGGCCCAGACUCCUACGGGAGGCAGCAGUGGGGAAUAUUGGACAAUGAGGGCAACCCUGAACCAGCCAUGCCGCGUGAGUGAUGAAGGCCUUAGGGUUGUAAAGCUCUUUUACCCGGGACGAUAAUGACUGUACCGGGAGAAUAAGCCCCGGCUAACUUCGUGCCAGCAGCCGCAGUAA
rnacentral:rRNA from 1 species